AGAGUUUGAUCCCGGCUCAGAGUGAACGCUGGCGGCGUGGAUUAGGCAUGCAAGUCGAGCGAUAUUUCAGGCGAAGAGGUUGAAGCCGCAAGGCAGAUGCCGAUUUGCCUGAUUUAUAGCGGCAGACUGGUGAGUAACGCGUGAGCAACUUACCCCUAAGGCGGGGAUAGCCUUGCGAAAGUAAGGGUAAUACCCGAUGUGUCAGAUUCUUCAUAAGAAGAGCCUGGUAAAGAUAGCCCGCAAGGGUUGUUACUUAGGGAUGGGCUCGCGUCCUAUCAGCUAGUUGGUAGGGUAAUGGCCUACCAAGGCUUUUGACGGGUAGCUGGCCUGAGAGGGUGGUCAGCCACACGGGGACUGAGACACUGCCCCGACUCCUACGGGAGGCUGCAGUCGAGGAUAUUUAGCAAUGGGCGAAAGCCUGACUAUGCGACGCCGCGUGAGGGAUGAAGGUUUUCGGAUUGUAAACCUCUUUCAAUGGGAAAGAAUUUUGACGGUACCCAGAGAAGAAGCCACGGCUAACUCCGUGCCAGCAGCCGCGGUAAUACGGAGGUGGCGAGCGUUACUCGGAAUCAUUGGGUGUAAAGGGCAGGUAGGCGUCCCUACAAGUUUUGGGUGAAAUCCUUUCGCUUAACGAAAGAACUGCCCAAAAAACUGUAGGGAUUGAGGCUAGAAGAGGAGAGCGGAAUUCCCGGUGUAAGGGUGAAAUCUGUAGAUAUCGGGAGGAACACCAGUGGCGAAGGCGGCUCUCUGGUCUAGCCCUGACGCUGAGCUGCGAAAGCUAGGGGAGCAAACAGGAUUAGAUACCCUGGUAGUCCUAGCCGUAAACGAUGAGCACUAGGUGUUGGGGGGUUUCUUUCAGCGCCGCAAGAUAACUCGUUAAGUGCUCCACCUGGGGACUACGGCCGCAAGGCUAAAACUCAAAGGAAUUGACGGGGGCCCGCACAAGCGGUGGAACAUGUGGUUUAAUUCGAUGCUACGCGAGGAACCUCACCAAGGUUUGACAUGCAGGAAGUAGGAACCCGAAAGGGGGACCACCUGUUAAGUCAGGAGCCUGCACAGGUGCUGCAUGGCUGUCGUCAGCUCGUGUCGUGAGAUGUUGGGUUAAGUCCCGCAACGAGCGCAACCCUCGUCCUUAGUUGCAACCUUGAAACCUAGCAGCAAUGCUGGGUUUUCGAGGGCACUCUAAGGAGACUGCCUGCGAUAAGCAGGAGGAAGGUGGGGAUGACGUCAAGUCCGUAUGGCCUUUAUAUCUUGGGCUACACACGUGUUACAAUGCCCGCUACAAAGCGUUGCCAACCCGCGAGGGGGAGCUAAUCGCAAAAAAGUGGGCUCAGUUCAGAUUGGAGUCUGCAAUCCGACUCCAUGAAGACGGAAUCGCUAGUAAUGGCGGAUCAGCACGCCGCCGUGAAUACGUUCCCGGGCCUUGUACACACCGCCCGUCAAGCGAUGGAAGCUGGGGGUACCUGAAAUUUCGCUCUAGGCGGACCUAAGGUAAAUCUGGUGACUGGCGCUAAGUCGUAACAAGGUA
rnacentral:rRNA from 1 species